CGCACCGCAGACGAGCAGCCCGACCCGGAGACGCAGCCCAGCGGAGCGCAGCGCGGGACCUGGCUGGCGCGUAACGGACUGAGGGAGCCCGACGCACCGCGGGAAUGAGCGCAGUUCCAGGCAAAACCCACAUGCUCGGACACUACUCCAUGCAGGCGUUUGACGUAUUGAUUCGUCAGAGAAGUGGUCCCAAGGUCGACAUGGCAACUGAACAUCCAGCCUCCUAAUGACUUAACCACAUCAACUCCUUCUCUUCUGCGCCAUUCACCCUCCCUCCAUCUGUCCCUUCAGGCACCAACCGUGGAUAGAACACGGCAGAACCAGAUCCCCAUGGCUGCGGUGAGACCAGAUCAAGCCAAUCCAGUUGUCGAGCGUGGAUCAAGGAUCAAGUAGCCAUGCACGCUGGUGCAGCUCCCAGAAACCAACAGGAGCCAAACCUUCAGAGGUUGUCCCACCACAUCACACAGAGUGUUCGUUUGUGAGUGUGUGUGUGUGUGUGUGUGUGUGUGUGUGUGUGUGUGUGUGUGUGUGUGACAGAAGCAGAGAAAAGAAACCAGGAUUUAAAGAUAAAAACCAUAAGAGCAAACCAAAUCUAUUUUGAAGUUUUGACUUCCUUCCUCACACAAGGCCUCAGCUUCCUUUCUUGUCGUCCCACAUGACACACCACCAUGAUCACUCACUGGCCUUUUCACGGGCCUGUGCUCUGGUCAAGGGUGAUUUGUUCGGUUUAUGGGCUUCUUCUCACAAGGUUGAGAAAUAUUUAAUCAAGUAACUGCGACCAGGGUUCAUACACAUUUUGACCAAUUGAUUUCCAUGACUUUUCCAUGACUUUUUAAUAACUUUAAACCAAAUUUCCAUGACCAAACAUUUUGUAAAAUCUCGAUAUAUACAUGAAAAAGUGACAACAUUUUGUAUUUCAGCUAACAAUGAGAAUUCCAAAGCAUACAGUAUACCUUAAAUUACACAAAUGAAUGAGAGACAAUAGUUUGAUUGAGGUCUUUGUCUGUUGUAACCCAUGGCAUGCACUUUUCCAUUUGUAGCAAAGCAUGGUUAAAUUUACACUUCCCUGGCAUUGUGCAUUAUCCAGCAUGCUUCCCCACCAAGCUUUUCAAUUAGUAUGAGAGCGUAUGCCUGCUUAUAUUUUGAGCGUAUUUCUUUUAAAAACAUAUGAAUUAUUUAAAACGCAGCAUAAUGAACGACAUGAAAUUAUGAAUAUAACAAGUUUCUAUGACCUCUCCAAAACUUUUGGGAU